rnacentral:rRNA from 1 species
GACAGAGGAGCCAAGCGUUGUCCGGAGUAACUGGGCGUAAAGAGCUCGUAGGCGGUUUGUCGCGUCGGCUGUGAAAGCCCGGAGCUCAACUCCGGGUCUGCAGUCGAUACGGGCAGACUUGAGUGUUGCAGGGGAGACUGGAAUUCCUGGUGUAGCGGUGAAAUGCGCAGAUAUCAGGAGGAACACCGGUGGCGAAGGCGGGUCUCUGGGCAACAACUGACGCUGAGGUAGCGAAAGCGUGGGGAGCGAACAGG